rnacentral:rRNA from 1 species
CCUACGGGUGGCAGCAGUGGGGAAUAUUGGACAAUGGGGGCAACCCUGAUCCAGCCAUGCCGCGUGUGUGAAGAAGGCCCUCGGGUUGUAAAGCACUUUCAGUGAGGAAGAACGCCUGGUGGUUAAUACCCAUCAGGAAAGACAUCACUCACAGAAGAAGCACCGGCUAACUCCGUGCCAGCAGCCGCGGUAAUACGGAGGGUGCGAGCGUUAAUCGGAAUUACUGGGCGUAAAGCGCGCGUAGGUGGCUUGAUAAGCCGGUUGUGAAAGCCCCGGGCUCAACCUGGGAACGGCAUCCGGAACUGUCAAGCUAGAGUGCAGGAGAGGAAGGUAGAAGUCCCGGUGUAGCGGUGAAAUGCGUAGAGAUCGGGAGGAAUACCAGUGGCGAAGGCGGCCUUCUGGACUGACACUGCCACUGAGGUGCGAAAGCGUGGGUAGCAAACAGGAUGAGAUACCCCGGUAGUC